rnacentral:rRNA from 1 species
UACGUAGGGUGCGAGCGUUAAUCGGAAUUACUGGGCGUAAAGCGUGCGCAGGCGGUUCGUUAUGUCCGAUGUGAAAGCCCCGAGCUUAACUUGGGAAUGGCAUUGGAAACUGGCGGGCUUGAGUGCGGCAGAGGGGGGUGGAAUUCCGCGUGUAGCAGUGAAAUGCGUAGAGAUGCGGAGGAACACCGGUGGCGAAGGCGGGUCUCUGGGCCGAUACUGACGCUGAGGAGCGAAAGCGUGGGGAGCAAACAGG